GAUGAGUGACUCAAACUCACAACCUCUUAGUUGGAAGCGGAGGAUGCUCACCGUGUUAAUUAUAAUAACGUCCUACUGUUUACUUUUUUUCCUUUUUGGUUACAAAAAAUUAGUAUAUAUUUGUUCUUUGCUUUGCUGAACAAAAGUGGCUAGCAUGUUUUGGCUCACUUUUUUUACCACCAAAAACCUCUGUUUUUUGUUAUUUGAAAGACUCUGACAUAAAGCUGUUUUGAGUGAGUGAGUGAAGUAUAGUUUCUGUAAAAUAAAACAGCAAAGCAUGAGGAGAUGUACCACUUUCCAAUAAUACAAAUGUAUUGAACAAAUUUGUUGUUUUUGGGUUGGUUUGAAAUCUUUACCAAAAACCAAGACAAAAAAAAAACCAAGUUCCAAACAACUUCUUGAAAAGCUCUCUUCUUCAUCUAAAAAAAGGAAUUGAUUUUUCUCUGUUUUUAGCUGUUUCUUGAACUUCCAAAACCAAUGGAAACAAGAAGUAUAAAUGGUGUUUUUGGUUUUUUGGUCUUAUUGAGUUUCUUAGUUUAUUCCAAUGCUGUGCUUACUCCAGCUGGUGUUAAUUAUGAAGGUUAGUUCUAGUAAUUUCUCAUAAAGUUAGAAACUUUGAGACCUUUUUUAUUGAUCAAAUUUAGAAAAAUACCAAGAAUUUCAUUUUUUUAUCUUUUUUUUUUAAAUGUUGAUUUUGGGCAGUGCAAGCGUUAAUGGAGAUCAAGAAUUC
rnacentral:lncRNA from 1 species